CAGCGGAAACUUUUGAAGUUAGUGUGUGUUCUAUGUGAAAAUACAGCUUCAAGUCAAAUUCAUCAUUGCAUCUCCUCUCCACUCAGGAAUUUCAAACUUAACGAAAAGUAAGUCAUUCUGAGCCAUAAUGCAUCUCUACUUUUGACAUUUUCUUGAAUCCCAGCUCCUCCUUUCCUCUUCUCUGUCUGUUCCCUCUUUCUUUGUUUUUGGAGUUCAAAAUUGCAAAUUUUGGGAUGUAGUUAUUCCCUUAUCACGUCUUCUACUCAGAACCCAUAAAAGAUUGAAAGAAGUUUCGGUACGCUGUUACUAAAAACUUAGGAUAUACAUUUUGGUGGCAAAAGAUGAAAACAGAAGUGCGGAUGAGGCUCCUCUUACGGGAGAAGUCACUUAACAUGACGUCACACAAACUUGUUUCUAAGAUCAGUGAAGAGCGGCAUGGAAGCUGCAGGGAAAUGAAUCGAAACGAGGAAAAGGGAAAUGUAGAAACAAGUUUUUAAAGAAGAAGUGUCAAGAAAGUAGAGCUUGUAAGCAACACGCAAAACAAAGGGUGACUGUUGACCAUGUGAUAUCCAUGUCAGUGGGGACUAAUCCUAUCGGCCGAUCUACGUGGAAUUAUUGGUAUGUCAUUUUUUCUUCACAACUACAUAUUUAAACUCAUACGUGCCCAAAGAUAAAGACUCACUAGUUAAUGGGUACGACAAUCGAUAGCAGAG